rnacentral:rRNA from 1 species
UACGAAGGGGGCGAGCGUUGUUCGGAUUUACUGGGCGUAAAGGGCGCGUAGGCGCCUUGUCAGUCAGGCGUGAAAGCCCCGGGCUCAACCUGGGAACGGCGCUUGGGACGGCGAGGCUGGAGUUCGGGAGAGGAGAGUGGAAUUCCCAGUGUAGAGGUGAAAUUCGUAGAUAUUGGGAAGAACACCGGUGGCGAAGGCGGCUCUCUGGACCGACACUGACGCUGAGGCGCGAAAGCUAGGGGAGCAAACAGG